rnacentral:piRNA from 6 species
AAGAGCCCGGAUAGCUCAGUCGGUAGAGCA